rnacentral:rRNA from 1 species
GAUGAACGCUGGCGGCGUGCCUAAUACAUGCAAGUCGAGCGAACAGACGAGGAGCUUACUCCUCUGACGUUAGCGGCGGACGGGUGAGUAACACGUGGAUAACCUACCUAUAAGACUGGGAUAACUUCGGGAAACCGGAGCUAAUACCGGAUAACAUGUUGAACCGCAUGGUUCAACAGUGAAAGACGGUCUUGCUGUCACUUAUAGAUGGAUCCGCGUCGCAUUAGCUAGUUGGUAAGGUAACGGCUUAUCAAGGCAACGAUGCGUAGCCGACCUGAGAGGGUGAUCGGCCACACUGGAACUGAGACACGGUCCAGACUCCUACGGGAGGCAGCAGUAGGGAAUCUUCCGCAAUGGGCGAAAGCCUGACGGAGCAACGCGGCGUGAGUGAAGAAGGUCUUCGGAUCGUAAAACUCUGUUAUUAGGGAAGAACAAAUGUGUAAGUAACUAUGCACGUCUUGACGGUACCUAAUCAGAAAGCCACGGCUAACUACGUG